rnacentral:piRNA from 1 species
UUUGCACAGAGGAUUAGAUGGAGCUAUGA